CCUACGGGGGACAGCAGUGAGGAAUAUUGGUCAAUGGGCGGAAGCCUGAACCAGCCAAGUAGCGUGCAGGAUGACGGCCCUACGGGUUGUAAACUGCUUUUAUACGGGAAUAACGCGCCUUCCGUGUAGGGCUUUGCCUUUACCGUAUGAAUAAGGACCGGCUAAUUCCGUGCCAGCAGCCGCGGUAAUCCGGACGGUCCGGGCGUUAUCCGGAUUUAUUGGGUUUAAGGGGAGCGUAGGCCGCAUGUCAAGCGUGCUGUGAAAUUUCCGGGCUCAACCCGGGCCUUGCAGCGCGAACUGGCGUGCUUGAGUCCGCGGAAAGCAGGCGGAAUUCGUCGUGUAGCGGUGAAAUGCUUAGAUAUGACGAAGAACCCCGAGUGCGAAGGCAGCUUGCUGCAGCGGAACUGACGCUGAUGCUCGAAAGCGCGGGUAUCGAACAGGAUUAGAUACCCCUGUAGUC
rnacentral:rRNA from 1 species